rnacentral:lncRNA from 1 species
UCGUACGGCCACUGGAGCUCGCCCGCUUCGAGCCCGAGAAGGGUCAGUUGUGUCCUCUUUGAAUGGUUUCAACAGGGACACGUGGAACACCGGGUGCACUUUCAGCUUGGAAGGCAGCGACAAUCGGUAUGCUGUCUCUCCAAUUCGAUGUGUGAUGAUGAAGGGACCUUCAUACCUCCUCACAAGUGCUUUGUGGUAGCCCGACUUCAAUUUCAUGUGAUGAUAAAGCUUCACCAAUACCCGAUCACCAACCUGAAAUUCAGCU